rnacentral:rRNA from 1 species
GACGUAGGGCGCAAGCGUUGUCCGGAUUUAUUGGGCGUAAAGAGCUCGUAGGCGGCUUGUUGCGUCGUCCGUGAAAACCUGUGGCUCAACUACAGGCUUGCGGUCGAUACGGGCGGGCUGGAGUUCGGUAGGGGAGACUGGAAUUCCUGGUGUAGCGGUGAAAUGCGCAGAUAUCAGGAGGAACACCGGUGGCGCAGGCGGGUCUCUGGGCCGAUACUGACGCUGAGGAGCGAAAGCGUGGGGAGCGAACAGG